AUUGAACGCUGGCGGCAUGCUUUACACAUGCAAGUCGAACGGUAACAGGGUGCUUGCACCGCUGACGAGUGGCGAACGGGUGAGUAAUGCGUCGGAACGUGCCGAGUAGUGGGGGAUAACGCAGCGAAAGUUGUGCUAAUACCGCAUACGUACUGAGGUAGAAAGUGGGGGACCUUCGGGCCUCACGCUAUUCGAGCGGCCGACGUCUGAUUAGCUAGUAGGUGAGGUAAAGGCUCACCUAGGCGACGAUCAGUAGCGGGUCUGAGAGGAUGACCCGCCACACUGGGACUGAGACACGGCCCAGACUCCUACGGGAGGCAGCCGUGGGGAAUUUUGGACAAUGGGCGAAAGCCUGAUCCAGCCAUGCCGCGUGUCUGAAGAAGGCCUUCGGGUUGUAAAGGACUUUUGUCAGGGAGGAAAUCCCUAGUGCUAAUAACACUGGGGGAUGACAGUACCUGAGGAACAAGCACCGGCUAACUACGUGCCAGCCGCCGCCGUAA
rnacentral:rRNA from 1 species